GGGGUGGAGGGGGGUCAGCCCUCCCCGCCUCCCGCUCGGGGCUGUUCCGGGUUCCGCGUUCCCAGGGUGGAGCGGGGAUCGCAGGCGAGACCGCUGCAGGAAGAAGUCGUUGUAGGCCAUGCACAGUGUGGUCAGGAACACCGUGUACUCCUUGAAGUCGAUCUCCUGGUCACUGUUCUUGUCCAAGGUCCUCAUCAGAUCAUCGAUGCCGCUCUCUUUCAUCUUCUUCAAGAGCACAGGGAGAGGGACAGGAGACGGGCGUCAGGACAGAUGGAGAUGGAAACAACAUCUCUGUGCCGUGGUCCUUGCCCCCAGACUGGGCUCCUGUUAAACUCAGGCCUACCCCAGGGCCUCUGUCCCCCGUAAUUAACCCCUAGGGGACCCGCGGCCCCUCCCCUCGCCCUCAUUAACUCCAGAAUGCAGGGAGCCUGGCAGGCAAGCCAGAGGGCAGGCCUGGUGAGACCCACACCUGCUCCAGUCCCCAAAGGAAGGCUCUCUCUCUGAGGAGGCCACCAAGGUUGACCAUGUGACUGGAGAGGCCUCAAGACUGGAUUUUCAGGGGAAAAGGAAGGACUCAGCCUCUUACUUGGGAGAACUCAGGUCUUCAGCUGCAGGUGACAGUCACCUACCUCUCCAAGACACAACUCCUUCUUGAUCAGCUCCUUUAGUUCCUUCCUGCUCAGGGUCAGUUUGCUGCCUUCUCUCCCAGAAUAUUUAUGGAAAGUGCUGACCAUAGUGGUCAGGGCCUUCUCAAGAGGAGUCUCCAUCAGUGGGUGCCUCUGGAGGGUGAAGGGAGAGGGAAGGAUUACCUCCCCGGGAAGCCAGACCUUCUGCUUUCCCCAUCACUAGCCCAGCCCUGAGGCUCUCUCUCAAGGACCAGAAACUAGAACCCAGGUUGAAACAGAACUUACCAACAAGUGGACUCAAAUGUCCCAGAACAGGUUGUAUAGUAAGACCUGAAGCAAAUGUGGAGCAGCUAGAGUCAUGAGACCAGCCAGCCCCAAAGGAGCUGCAUGCUCCAAAAAUGCUGGAAAGGGCUCUAGGUGCAGAUGACAAGAGGACCUCCCCAAAAGAUGAACUGGUGGUAAGGGCCCCUGGCCCCCCGAGCAUGGGCACUCAUUUCCUAAGCACCCUCCUUUGCCCCGGUGCCUGAAUCACUGGAUGACAGAGUGUGUCCUCUUGUACAAGGGGAGGACCAGGCAAAGAGAGAGUCCAGGGCUUGGAGGGGGCUGGGGUUGGAACUGGGAGAUAUGGUCUCAGCAGGAAACAGGGGAGAGGUUACUGGACUUGUCCAGCUGGUCUCCAUCUCUGGCCCAGAGAAGUGCACACACGACUGGCACCAAGUGGGUUGGGCGCAUGGAAAUCUCCGGAAUCUGAGAUUGGACCCAAAGAUUGGGUUGGAUGUGGUCCUCCUCGUCCAUCAACACAGCCACAUCCACCCAAUCCAUAUCCAUCCACCAUGGAAGGCAGACUCAGACUCAAAAACCACUCCCUCUUUGGAAGGGACUAUACCUCCGACACAUGGGGGUUCCAGGUUAAUCUGUGUGGAGUCAGAGCAAGGAGGAAAGAGCAGCUGGUUCCCUCCCUCAGCCUGAAGCCCACCUAGUGAUUCUUGAACUGGAUCCAUCAGUGACCUCUCAGCACCCCAAAACCUCAGCUUAGCCUCCCCCAGGAGACUCAGCCAGGAUCACAGGGAAGGAAGGGCUUCCGGACAUCUGCAACAGAGCCCCUUCUCAAGAAAUUCUGAGAAGCACAGCUUCACACUUGGCCGUCCUUUCUGAGCAAGUGCCCACUCAUCAUGCCUGGCCUUCCUUGGUGGAGGUCCCCAAGCCUUGUCAUCACCCACUUGUCCCACCACAGAGAGGAGCCAGGAGGUGAGAAGGAAGGACUCACCUGGGAAGGAGCCAGCAGACAGAGCACACAGCAGAAACACACUCCCUUCCACACUCCCUGCCUUUGUUUCCUUGCUCUAAUCCCCAGGAAACCAGGGCAGGGAAAGAGCCAAUGAGAACGGGUGGGGACCCGAGGAGG